UUAGCAUGAUGAUUGAUUUGUCAGUUCUGCUUCUGAAGGCACAGAGAAGACACUUUUACCACACUCCUGAAGU